rnacentral:rRNA from 1 species
AGAGUUUGAUCAUGGCUCAGGAUGAACGCUAGCUACAGGCUUAACACAUGCAAGUCGAGGGGCAGCAUUUCAGUUUGCUUGCAAACUGGAGAUGGCGACCGGCGCACGGGUGAGUAACACGUAUCCAACCUGCCGAUAACUCGGGGAUAGCCUUUCGAAAGAAAGAUUAAUACCCGAUGGCAUAAUUAGACCGCAUGGUCUUAUUAUUAAAGAAUUUCGGUUAUCGAUGGGGAUGCGUUCCAUUAGGCAGUUGGUGAGGUAACGGCUCACCAAACCUUCGAUGGAUAGGGGUUCUGAGAGGAAGGUCCCCCACAUUGGAACUGAGACACGGUCCAAACUCCUACGGGAGGCAGCAGUGAGGAAUAUUGGUCAAUGGACGAGAGUCUGAACCARCCAAGUAGCGUGAAGGAUGACUGCCCUAUGGGUUGUAAACUUCUUUUAUAUGGGAAUAAAGUUUUCCACGUGUGGAAUUUUGUAUGUACCAUAUGAAUAAGGAUCGGCUAACUCCGUGCCAGCAGCCGCGGUAAUACGGAGGAUCCGAGCGUUAUCCGGAUUUAUUGGGUUUAAAGGGAGCGUAGGUGGACAGUUAAGUCAGUUGUGAAAGUUUGCGGCUCAACCGUAAAAUUGCAGUUGAUACUGGCUGUCUUGAGUACAGUAGAGGUGGGCGGAAUUCGUGGUGUAGCGGUGAAAUGCUUAGAUAUCACGAAGAACUCCGAUUGCGAAGGCAGCUCACUGGACUGCAACUGACACUGAUGCUCGAAAGUGUGGGUAUCAAACAGGAUUAGAUACCCUGGUAGUCCACACAGUAAACGAUGAAUACUCGCUGUUUGCGAUAUACAGUAAGCGGCCAAGCGAAAGCAUUAAGUAUUCCACCUGGGGAGUACGCCGGCAACGGUGAAACUCAAAGGAAUUGACGGGGGCCCGCACAAGCGGAGGAACAUGUGGUUUAAUUCGAUGAUACGCGAGGAACCUUACCCGGGCUUAAAUUGCAUUUGAAUAAUCUGGAAACAGGUUAGCCGCAAGGCAAAUGUGAAGGUGCUGCAUGGUUGUCGUCAGCUCGUGCCGUGAGGUGUCGGCUUAAGUGCCAUAACGAGCGCAACCCUUAUCUUUAGUUACUAACAGGUCAUGCUGAGGACUCUAGAGAGACUGCCGUCGUAAGAUGUGAGGAAGGUGGGGAUGACGUCAAAUCAGCACGGCCCUUACGUCCGGGGCUACACACGUGUUACAAUGGGGGGUACAGAAGGCAGCUACCUGGUGACAGGAUGCUAAUCCCAAAAGCCUCUCUCAGUUCGGAUCGAAGUCUGCAACCCGACUUCGUGAAGCUGGAUUCGCUAGUAAUCGCGCAUCAGCCAUGGCGCGGUGAAUACGUUCCCGGGCCUUGUACACACCGCCCGU